GGACUACUGGGGUAUCUAAUCCCAUUCGCUCCCCUAGCUUUCGUUCCUCAGCGUCAGUAAUGGCCCAGCAAGUCGCUUGCGCCACCGGUGUUCUUCCCAAUAUCUACGCAUUUCACCGCUACACUGGGAAUUCCACUUGCCUCUACCAUACUCCAGUCUGCCAGUAUCCAAUGCAGUCCCGAGGUUGAGCCCCAGUCUUUAACAUCAGACUUAACAAACCGCCUACGAACUCUUUACGCCCAAUAAAUCCGGACAACGCUCGCAUCCUACGUCUUACCGCGGCUGCUGGCAC
rnacentral:rRNA from 1 species